ensembl:ncRNA lncRNA:CR44740 long non-coding RNA:CR44740
UCCAAUCAUGAUCGAACCUAAUUUCAAAAUUUCCUGAUUUUCCCACUCAAAGUUAGAUUCCUACAUUCCCUAUACAGCAAUUUCCUGAGGUAACUCUGAGCUCAAAUUUUAGAGCAGGACGCAACAUACGUCAUCGGCAUGCCUGGAAGCAUGAAAAAAUCCUUGAACAUAUCGACGGACCAGGAGUGCAGUAGCCGGAGCAUAUGGCUGCAUGUCUGGCAAAGUGUGGCACAAAUAACUGGAAUAACUGCUGCCAAGUCAAUGCCACAUUAUCGGAAACCGAAGUUGCUGAAACGAGCAGUGGACUGCGGGGGUUGAGGGUGAGUGGAGGAGACACGACAACGGUGGAGCUACCAUUAGAAGAGGCCUUGUACAAGGACGUGGGACAGGGGCCGGAGAUUGGGGAGAAGGAGCCGAAUGAGGAGGAAGUGGCUUCAGUUGUCUCGCAAUUGCUU